rnacentral:tRNA from 1 species
ACUCUUUUAGUAUAACUAGUACAAUUGACUUCCAAUCAAUCAGCUUUGACAACA